AAAUGCAAAGCAUUCAGAGAGAGUCAGCAGGCUGGAGAGGCCAAGAGACACAUGCACAAAAAGAAGGCAGUGAAGGCAAACUUGACUGUUUUCUCUGCUUAAUGGCAUAGAGCAGGAGUCAGCAAAGUAGAGUCUGAAGGUGAUCAAGAAGCCCACAGAAACACAAGGAAGCUUUUAGAAGAAAGCUCAGAAAACAAGCAGAAGAGAGCUGAAGUAUUUGGAACCAAAGAAAAACCCAUGCCACAGGACUAUAAGUAGAGGACACUGCUUCUGGUACCACUGAACACUGGACACCAGAGCUUGCACUCUUGCCACCAACACAGGAAACCAGAUCGACUAUGAGGGAUCCAUGGAGUGAUGUUGCUUAGAACAGACCUUCAACAGAACUUACACAAGGGAGCAGCGCUGAUUGUGAGCGUCCAGCUGCUG